rnacentral:lncRNA from 1 species
AAAUGAUCCUAUUGAUAAAACAAAAUGUUUUUUGAUGCAGCGAAUUAUGCCAAUCACAGGCCUAUUAAAUUCAAAGUCUUUGUUGGAAGGUUCGAUAACUUAGAUCAGACUUCUUCACAGGUCCUGUCUGUCCAAUUGGCCAAAUACAUAUAGGUGUUCAAACAAUUGACAACUGAAACAUCACCUGAAAUUAUAAAUUACAACACAGGCAGUAUCUUAUUCUAAUACAGUGU